rnacentral:rRNA from 1 species
ACUCAAAUGAAUAGACGGGGACUUGCACAAGCGGUGGAACAUGUGGUUCAAUUCGACGCUAAACGAAGAACCUUACCAGGGUUAGAAAUCCAUUCGAAGACUGGCAGAAACGUCAGUCGCCGCAAGGCGGAUGGACAGGUGCUGCAUGGCUGUCGUCAGUUCGUGGUUUGAACUGUUCCCUUCAGUGGGGUAACGAACGCAACCCCUGUUGCCUGUUACAAGUGUCAGGCGAGACCGCCCAGCCCAGAGAAUGCAAGAAUUGUAUUUUCCGGGCUGGGAGGAAGGUGGGGAUGACGCCAAGUCAGCAUGGCCCUCUGAUACCCUGGGCUACACACGUGUUACAAUGCACGGUACAACGGGACGCAAUAUCGUAAGAUGGAGCAAACCCUUAUAAAGCCGUGCUCAGUUCGGAUUGAGGUCUGCAACUCGACCUCAUGAAGCUGGAAUCGCUAGUAAUCGCAGGUCAGCUAUACUGCGGUGAAUACGUUCUCAAGUCUUGUACACACCGCCCGU